rnacentral:rRNA from 1 species
GCAGUGGGGAAUAUUGCACAAUGGGGGAAACCCUGAUGCAGCGACGCCGCGUGAGUGAAGAAGUAUUUCGGUAUGUAAAGCUCUAUCAGCAGGGAAGAAAGACUCGUAAGAGAGAUGACGGUACCUGACUAAGAAGCCCCGGCUAACUACGUGCCAGCAGCCGCGGUAAUACGUAGGGGGCAAGCGUUAUCCGGAUUUACUGGGUGUAAAGGGAGCGCAGACGGUUAUGCAAGUCUGAAGUGAAACCCCACGGCUCAACUGUGGGCUUGCUUUGGAAACUGUUUAACUAGAGUACUGGAGAGGUAAGCGGAAUUCCUAGUGUAGCGGUGAAAUGCGUAGAUAUUAGGAGGAACACCGGUGGCGAAGGCGGCUUACUGGACAGCAACUGACGUUGAGGCUCGAAGGCGUGGGGAGCAAACAGGAUUAGAUACCCUUGU